UCAGUUGUGAAAGUUUGCGGCUCAACCGUAAAAUUGCAGUUGAUACUGGGUACCUUGAGUGCAGCAUAGGUAGGCGGAAUUCGUGGUGUAGCGGUGAAAUGCUUAGAUAUCACGAAGAACUCCGAUUGCGAAGGCAGCUUACUGGACUGUAACUGACGCUGAUGCUCGAAAGUGUGGGUAUCAAACAGGAUUAGAUACCCUGGUAGUCCACACAGUAAACGAUGAAUACUCGCUGUUGGCGAUACACAGUCAGCGGCCAAGCGAAAGCAUUAAGUAUUCCACCUGGGGAGUACGCCGGCAACGGUGAAACUCAAAGGAAUUGACGGGGGCCCGCACAAGCGGAGGAACAUGUGGUUUAAUUCGAUGAUACGCGAGGAACCUUACCCGGGCUUAAAUUGCAGUGGAAUGUAGUGGAAACAUUACAGCCUUCGGGCCGCUGUGAAGGUGCUGCAUGGUUGUCGUCASUUCGUGCCGUGAGGUGUCGGCUUAAG
rnacentral:rRNA from 1 species